rnacentral:rRNA from 1 species
CACUCCUGCGGGAGGCAGCAGUGGGGAAUUUUGGACAAUGGGCGAAAGCCUGAUCCAGCCAUGCCGCGUGCAGGAUGAAGGCCUUCGGGUUGUAAACUGCUUUUGUACGGAACGAAACGGCCUUUUCUAAUAAAGAGGGCUAAUGACGGUACCGUAAGAAUAAGCACCGGCUAACUACGUGCCAGCAGCCGCGGUAAUACGUAGGGUGCAAGCGUUAAUCGGAAUUACUGGGCGUAAAGCGUGCGCAGGCGGUUAUGUAAGACAGUUGUGAAAUCCCCGGGCUCAGCCUGGGAACUGCAUCUGUGACUGCAUAGCUAGAGUACGGUAGAUGGGGAUGGAAUUCCGCGUGUAGCAGUGAAAUGCGUAGAUAUGCGGAGGAACACCGAUGGCGAAGGCAAUCCCCUGGACCUGUACUGACGCUCAUGCACGAAAGCGUGGGGAGCAAACAGGAUUAGAAACCCCUGUAGUCCCAUG